rnacentral:rRNA from 1 species
UACGUAGGGUGCAGGCGUUAAUCGGAAUUACUGGGCGUAAAGCGUGCGCAGGCGGUUUGCUAAGACAGGUGUGAAAUCCCCGGGCUUAACCUGGGAACUGCGCUUGUUACUGGCAGGCUUGAGUGUGGCAGAGGGGGGUGGAAUUCCACGUGGUAGCAGUGAAAUGCGUAGAGAUGUGGAGGAACACCGAUGGCGAAGGCAGCCCCCUGGGCUAACACUGACGCCUCAUGCACGAAAGCGUGGGGAGCAAACAGG